AGAUUUGUGCCGUUCACACUGUCACACCAUGAUCGGAUAUUCGUCGCAUAGGGUCAAAAAAAUCGGAUUUGAUGCGCUUUCGCCUGCAGUGUGAACGCAGCCUGAAAGGUAGCAGCAAACUACUGUGAAAGCUACUGUGACACGAGCUUUCACAGUAGCGUUUCUAACUUACUAGUUAGUAAGUCUGUAGUUCCUGCCUUGUUUAAACCAUUGUGUUAGUAAUUCCAGCUUUGUGUCCGAGUCCUGCACUUUUGGUCUUCACUCUGACUGCCACGCACAGGUUAUUAAGACAGUCACAUUACUGUGGACCUUUGACCUCUUCCUUAAGGUCAAAUAAGGUCAAACUUUCAUAAAAUGCUUUCUCAUAUUUAAAACUAUGCUUAAAAUUCUACUGCCUUUGUUUGCAUUUUCAUUAGGAAAUAAUAAUACAGAUUCUAAAUAUGACAUUGGCCACAAAAUGUGUUAUUUCUUCGAAGAAAGUAUUGUAAAGCCAAAGAAUACAUCAGAAAUAUAAGAGUAUUCUGGUGAAAGUAAAGAGAAUUAGCUGCCUCGGCAGAGAGUUGCUCUGACUGCUUCUUUCUUUAGACAAUAAUUCUGAUGGCAAAAAAAAGACUGUUUUUAGCCUGAAUGAAGGUUUGCUUCUUGUUAUUUGAAGCUGUUGUUCUGAAUUUGAAUCUGCUGACUAAUACAAAUUAAUCUUAAAAUGCAUUUAGAUAAUCUCUUCAUGUUUUUGAUUGCACAUAUAGAUGAAUUUAUACCAAAAUUAAUUAAAUAGCUAAAGUGUUACGUUCUGUAAUGAAGUAUUUUAAAUUAAUUUUAAGUUAAACACUGUAAUGUCAUUUAAAAAUCAAACAUUUAAACAUUAUUUAACCAUAAACAUUAUUGUUUUUUCCACUUCAGUAAAAUCUGAAUGUUGACUUCACUGGAACAAACAGGUUUUAUCUGCUCAUGCUGGCUGUUUGCAGUUAAAGGGGAGAACAGAGUCCCAUCACUGAUGACUGAUCACUUUCUGCUCAUAGUUUUAAGUUUAGUAUGAUUUUAUUAGCUAUAAAACUGUCCCAGUUUCAUUGAGCGCUGAGGAUGAACCAACACAUUACCGUCUGUGUGCUUAACUGGUGACAGAUUAAAGAUAAGAGAUCUGUGUGUGUUGAUGUGUUAACUUUAAAAUCUGCCGUCUGACUGCUCAGACUGAGUCAGAGUAAAGUUCACAUGCUGACGUGUGGAGACGUGAAACCUUGUUGUAGCUGCAGGUGUGAACACACUGAUCCCAGAUCAGCUGUAUUUGUAACAUGAACAUUUCUGCUGCAAAGCUUCAAAUGUUCAGCAUGUUUCUCUGUUUCCAGUCUAUAGAUCCAGUCACACUUUCUACCUUCACCUGUGCAGUAAAGACUGAGAGCAGAGCUGAAACCAACCGUCCAAUCAGGGAGCAGCAUCAACACCUGAGCUUCAUUCAGACUCUGUUAUUGAAGAUGUUGUUGGUACAAAGUUCAUCUGCUGCUCACAUGAAUCCAUGAAAGAUUUAUUUCACUGAAUGUUUCUUCAAAGCUCAUUUCAACCUGUUGAAGUCAUGAAUGAAAGUGCAGACUGAGAGUGGAUCACAUGAUGUUUAAGGUGAGCAGAUCCAGUGUCAUCAGUGAGCUGGUGAAAACAGGACAAGAACAUCAGCCUGGACUGUGUGUGUGCUGUCCUCACAUAUACAUAAGUGCAGCUCCUUCAGAGAUGGGACAAAGAGGAGGUCACCAGCCUGCUGAGGCCAAGUUCGAUUUGAUUUUCCAGUCAACGCUGAGAGACUUUGACCAGGAAGUCAGAGGUCAGCUCAUGCUGUGAGCAGGAAAUGAAUCAAGGAAGAAGGAUCGCUCUACUCAAUCUCAAAGAAAAUCUCCUGGUACUUGUUUUAUAGCUGUUAUUUAUAUUCAUUAUGUCCAUUAUAAUGAUGAGCCUUUUGAUAUUAACAAGCACGUUUUCAUUGUCACAGAGGGAAACGUUGUAUUUUCUGCGUCUCUUCCUCACAGUAAAGAUAUUUGUAUCGCACUCCUGCAAAGAAGAUUCUGCAGGUAAACUGUUGAUGGGACAAUAAACAAAUUUCACUUUGCAAAAUGUUCUGCAGGGAGGUUGUGGUUGCUUCUUAGACUACCAUGACCUGGAUGACUGAGAACCUACGCAGACACAUUCUGAAGGAAGGGCUCCACACUUAUUGUACUGAUUUAACUGAGUUCAUUGUCAUCUAGCAAAUUUUGCUUUAAUGUGUCUCUAUCGACAACACAAAGCAUUUUUUUCAUUAUUUAUAAAACGUAGAAGACUUAAAAUAUAUCUGCAGUGCUCGGUGUAAAUUCAGUGAUUCAAGCUGCAGUUGGUUGGAGUCCAACAGUCUGCAGUGGCCUCCACAGUCCACCGUCUUCACAUCACAAGGACAGUUUCCACAUGUCUGUGACGUCUCCUUGCACUUGUACUUAUGCCUUGAUGAACAAGUAGGUAGAGUUCAAAUGUGGGUUUUCAGUGAGUUUAUAAGUACAGUUUACUGUUACUGCUGCUGUUUGUGUUUUGUCAGGUUUGUUUCAUGAAUAUUUCUCAGACAGAAGAAGGUGAUAUUCCAAGGGAGCUGAAAAGGAGAGCCGUCGAUGCCUUACAUUUGAAGAGCAGAGCAGCUGAAGAAAAGCUGUGACUCCAACGUGAGAUGGACGCUGUGAUUCAUCACCAGCAACACACUGACCUGCAUCCAUCCAUAGAUGACACUCAGUUCCACAGCUGUUCCUGUUCACAGCUGCAUCCAGUUAGAGAGGAAACUGUAUAAUGCAAUGAUGAUGUUCCAGUGUCCUGCAGAUGGCGUUCUUGCAACGCGUUCAAAGAGCCGACACUUUGAUGAUGCUGCUCUACUCAACUUACUUUAGCCUGGGUUGCACUCUAUAUGAGCAGCUUCCACUCUGGUUUCACUGUUAAAUACACUUGUUUGAUUUCACUUGGAAAAGCUGAAAAAUAAAUAUGUUAUUGCAAAAUUA